AUUACAUUUUGAAGAAGAUUGGUGAAAAUCAUCAUCAUCAUCAUCAUUUCGAAUGAAAAAUUCGACAAAUACGCCAUUAUCGUCAACAAUUGGAACUAAAAAGGUGGUCGAAGCAAAAUUACAUACACACAACAAACAUAGAUACGCCAACCAACCAACCAACCAACCACCCAAUACGCACUGUUAAACCCCGCCGAAAAUAUAUUCAGAUAGUGUUGUCAAAUACACACUAAAAACACACUCACUCCAAAGCCAGCCACCGCCUCCGCAUAUAAUUCAUUUUUUUUUCUUCUUAAUAAUAAUAUUAUUCGCGUGCUCGGACGUAAAUAUUUUCAAUAUAUUGAAAACAUCCAUUAUCGAACAAAAAGAA